rnacentral:lncRNA from 1 species
GUGAGGAGAUGUGUUUUUGUUUUUUUUUGUGUCUUUUUUAAAGUCUGUGUUUGGAGUUCUGGAAACGUUUUUGAAUCGAUAGAUUAUUUUGUAUCUUUCCACAAGUUUGUUGUGAUUAUUAUUGUAUUGUCUUUCCUGCGAUGGUACGCUAACUGACUCCAUUGCUGUAAAGUAUUUAUCUGAAGUGAUUACUGUCCAGUUGGGCCUGUACGGGUCAUGAUACGUGAGGCCGGUCUCCCACACAUAACGACCCCAGUGAAGCUGCGAAACCCGUGCCAUAAUGAACACGGCCGCGAGCGAUAGCACAGGGUCGCAGAGCACAAAGAAAACGGAGUAUUCAUUACAUUGACCACGCAGCCUGACACAGUUGGCCGGCGGUCGUGCAUGGUGCCAGGAGCUUACCCAGUCCCAAAAGAUAAUCAUAAGAUCAAUAUAAAAGCAUACGCCCUUAUUGGCAAUGCCAUCCACAAAGAAAACUACGAGAAAGGAAAACCGCCAACAUACCGCCAUGUGACGUUUAUGUAUUCUGACUGACUACCCACCCAUGGACUCUUAGUCACGUGUCCCCAGGUAAAAAAAGGGCGUGACUCGACCUUUCUAUUAGUUAAUCAUAAUAAUAAGGCAACCUCGGACUGACCCAAAGAAAGGAUGGAUCACAACUGAGACGAAAUCAAGUGAUUUGCCGCAGUUCCCCCUGAGACGCCAAUCAAGAAGGACUCGUUACGGCGGAGGAAUAUCAACAACUCCUUCGGGAUGUCGUUAUUGGCGCUGCGUGUCCUGGUGCUGCUGCUGACGGUUAGCGGAUGUUUGGGAGAGCGAGUGUACCAGUUCCAGGGGAAUGGAGUUCAGUCCGACGCUCACAUCAAGUACACGGGCUUCACCAAACCCCUCGCCCUCGAGUCCGUGUCCUUCUGCGUCCGACUGAGGUU